UUAGAGGAAGUAAAAGUCGUAACAAGGUCUCCGUUGGUGAACCAGCGGAGGGAUCAUUACCGAGUUUACAACUCCCAAACCCCUGUGAACAUACCUCUUGUUGCUUCGGCGGGAUCGCCCCGGCGCCUCUGUGCCCGGGACCAGGCGCCCGCCGGAGGCCCCAAACUCUUGUUUUCCUAGUGAUAUCCUCUGAGUCUCACAAACAAAUAAAUUAAAACUUUCAACAACGGAUCUCUUGGUUCUGGCAUCGAUGAAGAACGCAGCGAAAUGCGAUAAGUAAUGUGAAUUGCAGAAUUCAGUGAACCAUCGAAUCUUUGAACGCACAUUGCGCCCGCUAGUACUCUAGCGGGCAUGCCUGUCCGAGCGUCAUUUCAACCCUCGAGCCCCCGGGCUUGGUGUUGGGGAUCGGCCGCCGCUCACCCGGUGGCCGGCCCCGAAUUAUAGUGGCGGUCUCGCUGUAGCCUCCUCUGCGUAGUAGCACACCUCGCACUGGAACGCGGCGCGGCCACGCCGUAAAACCCCAACUUCUGAAGGUGACCUCGAUCA
rnacentral:rRNA from 1 species